AACGAACAUUGGCGGUAGGCUUAACACGUGCAAGUCGAGCGAGGCUUCGAGCCGAGCGGCGAACGGGUGAGUAAGACAUGGGAAUCUGCCCUGAAGUGUGGGACAACCGGCAGAAAUGCUGGCUAAUACCACAUAAUCCAUAUUGGGAAAGCGCGCAGCGCUUUAGGAUGAGCCCAUGCCUGAUUAGCUAGUUGGUGGGGUAACGGCCCACCAAGGCGACGAUCAGUAGCUGGUCUGAGAGGAUGAUCAGCCACACUGGAACUGAGACACGGUCCAGACUCCUACGGGAGGCAGCAGUGGGGAAUCUUGCGCAAUGGGGGCAACCCUGACGCAGCCAUACCGCGUGUGUGAUGAAGGUCUUCGGAUUGUAAAGCACUUUCAGUGGGGACGACAAUGACGGUACCCACAGAAGAAGUCACGGCUAACUUCGUGCCAGCCGCCGCCGUAA
rnacentral:rRNA from 1 species